rnacentral:rRNA from 1 species
UUCUGGUCUAUACACCCCUUCCACCCACUACCCCCGUCAAAGCCCGUCUCGCCAAAAUCCCUCUCAGAACCCUAGCCCCCGCCGCCCCGCGGUUCCGCAUGGCCGGCGCCGCCGCGCUCCGGCGGGCCGCCCGCAGCGCCGCCCGCGCGCUGGCCAACGCCCCCGCCCCCUCCCGGGCGAUCGUGCUCCCCGAGCGCCUCUUGUCCUCCCAGGCCUCGCCGGAGCACCGCCCCCGCCCCGGCGUGUCGGCGUCGGAGCUGGGGCAGUACCCGCCGGAGCGGAUCCGGAACUUCUCCAUCAUCGCGCACGUCGACCACGGCAAGUCCACGCUCGCCGACCGGCUGCUGGAGCUCACCGGCACCAUCCAGAAGGGCCAUGGGGCUCAGUACCUCGACAAGCUGCAGGUAGAGAAAGAAAGGGGCAUCACCGUCAAAGCCCAAACCGCGACUAUGUUCUACAAGCAUACAGUGGAAAAUCCCGAGUCCCAUGGGACAGAUUCUUCAAGCUAUUUGCUUAACCUGAUUGAUACUCCAGGCCAUGUGGAUUUCAGCUAUGAGGUCUCCAGGUCCCUAGUAGCUUGCCAGGGUGCUCUUUUAGUAGUUGAUGCAGCCCAAGGUGUACAGGCACAAACAAUUGCAAAUUUUUACCUUGCAUUUGAGUCAAACCUUAGCAUUAUUCCUGUCAUUAACAAGAUUGAUCAGCCUACUGCUGACCCAGAUAAUGUAAAGGCCCAGUUGAAGAGGUUAUUUGACAUUGAUCCAAGUGAAGCUCUGCUCACUUCUGCCAAAACUGGUCAAGGCCUUAGCCAGGUGCUACCUGCUGUUAUCGAGCGUAUACCUUGCCCACCAGGGAAUUGUGAUUCACCUGUACGAAUGCUGCUCUUAGAUUCAUACUACGAUGAAUACAAAGGGGUGAUAUGUCAUGUUGCUAUUGUUGAUGGUGCGAUGCGCAAGGGAGAUAAGAUUUCAUCAGCUGCGACUAGUCGCACAUAUGAAGUCUUUGAUGUUGGCAUUAUGCAUCCUGAGCUUACCCCUACCGGAGUGCUUUACACCGGACAAGUUGGAUAUGUUAUAACUGGAAUGCGUUCAACUAAAGAAGCACGGAUUGGUGAUACUCUUCAUCAGGCUAAGACUAUCGUUGAACCACUUCCUGGUUUCAAGCCUGUGAGACACAUGGUCUUCUCUGGUGUAUACCCAGCUGAUGGUUCUGACUUUGAGGCUCUUAGCCAUGCAAUUGAGAAGCUAACAUGUAAUGAUGCCAGCGUGUCUGUUACAAAAGAGACAAGCACUGCACUUGGCAUGGGCUUCAGAUGUGGUUUCCUAGGAUUGCUGCACAUGGAUGUGUUUCAUCAACGGCUUGAACAAGAAUAUGGAGCUCAAGUCAUAUCCACCAUACCAACUGUACCAUAUAUCUUUGAAUAUGGCGAUGAAAGCAAAGUGCAAAUUGAGAACCCUGCGGCCUUGUCUUUCAAUGCUGGAAAACGUAUAACGGCCUGCUGGGAGCCAACAGUCAUUGCAACAAUUAUUAUUCCUAGUGAGUAUGUUGGGCCUGUAAUUAUGCUUUGUUCGGAAAGGAGGGGUGAACAGCAAGAAUAUACAUUCAUUGAUGCUAAUAGAGCUUUAUUGAAGUACCGAUUACCUUUGAGGGAGAUCAUUGUGGACUUCUACAAUGAGUUGAAAAGCAUAACAUCUGGCUAUGCUACUUUUGACUAUGAAGAUUCUGAGUAUGUAUCGUUUUCAAUUUAAAAAAUCAGAUAAGGUCUGGUUACACUACUGGUUUUGUCAUUUUUCGAGAUUUUGAGAUGAAAAUGAAUAUGAAUAUGGUUGUAAGGUUGUGGCUCAUCGAAUUCCUGUGCUCUGGUCAGUCUUUUCCGUUGAACAUUUUAUAUCCCCUUUGUUUCUUGAAAGUUGUUGGCCUUGCUUAUGAAUAUGACCCCUGGUGCAGGUCUCUAUCCAGCCUACUAAGUACCCACGAGAACAAAUUUUUGCUUUAGACAUCUUAUGUUUCAGGGAACAUCUCCCGGUGACUAUUUGACUAGUAACUGUUUGAGUCGUUAAAUGACUUAAACUGUUUUCACUUGCUUGAUUAAUUAGCCAAGUGGUGUACAAAUUAUUUACAUUCGAUGUGAGAUGGCUAUUCAAGUAGCACAUAGGAAUUUCUUCUAUGAUGGAAAAGGAAAAAAAAAAUGUGACAGCUUCGUAUCACUAUUUCUGGUUCUUGUUACACUAACUUACUUAAGUUCAUUUCAACAGGUAUCAAAAAUCUGAUCUUGUUAAGAUGGAUAUUCUACUUAACGGCCAGCCUGUUGAUGCUAUGGCUACUAUAAUCCAUAACCAAAAAGCUCAGAAGGUUGGAAGAGAAUUAGUGGACAAGCUGAAGAAAUUUAUAGAAAGGCAAAUGUUUGAGAUCACUAUACAAGCAGCAAUUGGUUCAAAGGUUAUUGCAAGGGAAACCCUGUCAGCAAUGAGAAAGAAUGUUCUGGCCAAGUGUUAUGGUGGUGAUAUCACCCGCAAAAAGAAGUUGCUAGAGAAGCAGAAGGAAGGGAAGAAGCGUAUGAAACGUGUCGGGUCUGUCGAUAUCCCCCAAGAAGCGUUCCAUGAGCUACUAAAGGUCUCCAGUUCAAAGUAGACGAGCUGUACUUUAGUGUCGUAACCUCGUGUAGUCAUCUUCCUUCCUGAAAGGCUUUCACUCCUUGUUCACCAAGUACAUACUGACGUUUUGCGCCGAGCAGCGUAGCACCACUGCUGUCAUUGCUCCUGUGCCCAAGGGUUAAACCGCCGGUCAAAGGGGUUUAUUUCACGCCGAGAAGCUCCGUCCUGCGGUGCUGGUGCUGCGAACCUUGGUGUUCCAGGAUGUUUUGGUGGUGCUAAAACAUGGACUCGCACCCUGGUGUGAGAAGAAAAAAAAAACCCGUACUGCCACACCCUGUUAUGCUAGUUCUUGCUGGAAAGUGGACAGCAUACGACGACGCUUGCUUGUUUCAUACUUUCAUAGUUGGCGCGAGCAUAUACGCAGAAUGUUGUGCCUCACUGCACUAUAUUUUUUUGGAGGAAAAGUGCCGAACAAUUCUACAAGUACAGUUAUACUUGGUUUUAUUUUGGAGAAGUUUUUCCAUUGUUCUCC